rnacentral:rRNA from 1 species
GACGAACGCUGGCGGCGUGCUUAACACAUGCAAGUCGAACGGUGAAGCUCCAGCUUGCUGGAGUGGAUCAGUGGCGAACGGGUGAGUAACACGUGAGCAACCUGCCCCUGACUCUGGAAUAAGCGCUGGAAACGGCGUCUAAUACUGGAUACGAGAAGGGCCCGCAUGGGCACUUUCUGGAAAGUUUUUCGGUUGGGGAUGGGCUCGCGGCCUAUCAGCUUGUUGGUGAGGUAAUGGCUCACCAAGGAGACGACGGGUAGCCGGCCUUAGAGGGCAACCGGCCACACUGGGACUGAGACUCGGCCCAGACUCCUAGGGGAGGCAGCAGUGGGGAAUAUUGCGCAAUGGGCGAAAGCCUGAUGCAGCGACGCCGCGUGAGGGAUGACGGCCUUCGUGUUGUAAACCUCUUUCAGCAGGGAAGAAGCGAAAGUGACGGUACCUGCAGAAGAAGCACCGGCUAACUACGUGCCAGCCGCCGCCGUAACAC